rnacentral:tRNA from 1 species
AUUCAAAUAGUUUAUUAAAAAUACAAGUUUGUGGGGCUUGGGAUGUAGGUUAUACUUUGGAUA